ACCAGGCGUAGCGUGGGUUGUUGU
rnacentral:siRNA from 1 species